GACGAACGCUGGCGGCGUGCUUAACACAUGCAAGUCGAACGGAAAGGCCCUGCUUUUGUGGGGUGCUCGAGUGGCGAACGGGUGAGUAACACGUGAGUAACCUGCCCUUGACUUUGGGAUAACUUCAGGAAACUGGGGCUAAUACCGGAUAGGAGCUCCUGCUGCAUGGUGGGGGUUGGAAAGUUUCGGCGGUUGGGGAUGGACUCGCGGCUUAUCAGCUUGUUGGUGGGGGAGUGGCUUACCAAGGCUUUGGCGGGUAGCCGGCCUGAGAGGGGGACCGGCCACAUUGGGACUGAGAUACGGCCCAGACUCCUACGGGAGGCAGCAGUGGGGAAUAUUGCACAAUGGGCGGAAGCCUGAUGCAGCAACGCCGCGUGCGGGAUGACGGCCUUCGGGUUGUAAACCGCUUUCGCCUGUGACGAAGCGUGAGUGACGGUAAUGGGUAAAGAAGCACCGGCUAACUACGUG
rnacentral:rRNA from 1 species